rnacentral:rRNA from 1 species
AAACGACUCUCGGCAACGGAUAUCUAGGCUCUCGCAUCGAUGAAGAACGUAGCAAAAUGCGAUACUUGGUGUGAAUUGCAGAAUCCCGUGAACCAUCGAGUUUUUGAACGCAAGUUGCGCCCGAAGCCUUCAGGCCGAGGGCACGUCUGCCUGGGCGUCUCA